rnacentral:misc_RNA from 1 species
GUGAACGCCCUCACGGGCUUAUAAACUAUUCCAAACCUCUGUGAACCGUGCCCUUCGGGGCUAUUUUACAAACAUGGUGUAAUGAACGUCAUAUAUCAUAACAAAAC